AUGAACACCCAUCACAUUGGUCAAGCCUCAAUUAGUUCCCCAAUUGAUCUUCUAUUAAGAGAUGUUCUCCACGUUCCACAAGCCAAUAAGAAUCUUGCUUCUAUGUCUCGCUUAACAACCCAUAACAAUGUAUUCUUUGAAACUCAUCCUAAAUAUUAUUUUUAUAAAGGAUCGAGCAAUGCACCAGAUGACCUUACCCCAUCACAACAAGAGCAUUUAGUCAUCAAAAGCGUCGUCAUCAAGCCCUCCUUGGCAAGAUGGCAUCAAAGAGUAGGACAUCCGUCAUCAAUCAUAGUUGAGCAAGUAGUCAAUCAAGGCAAUCUUCUAUUUUCAGGUAGUGAAAAUAAAGAGUCUGUUUGUGAUGCUUGUCAGUGUGCCAAGAGUCACCAACUCUUUGAUGACAUCUUGCCAAGGAGGGUUGACGAUGGAGUAGGCUUGACACAACGCUUUCGACUAAAUGCUCCUCAUGUGAUGGCGUGA
rnacentral:rRNA from 1 species